rnacentral:rRNA from 1 species
CCUACGGGAGGCAGCAGUGGGGAAUUUUGGACAAUGGGCGAAAGCCUGAUCCAGCAAUGCCGCGUGUGUGAAGAAGGCCUUCGGGUUGUAAAGCACUUUUGUCCGGAAAGAAAUGGCUCUGGUUAAUACCUGGGGUCGAUGACGGUACCGGAAGAAUAAGGACCGGCUAACUACGUGCCAGCAGCCGCGGUAAUACGUAGGGUCCAAGCGUUAAUCGGAAUUACUGGGCGUAAAGCGUGCGCAGGCGGUUGUGCAAGACCGAUGUGAAAUCCCCGAGCUUAACUUGGGAAUUGCAUUGGUGACUGCACGGCUAGAGUGUGUCAGAGGGGGGUAGAAUUCCACGUGUAGCAGUGAAAUGCGUAGAGAUGUGGAGGAAUACCGAUGGCGAAGGCAGCCCCCUGGGAUAACACUGACGCUCAUGCACGAAAGCGUGGGGAGCA